rnacentral:rRNA from 1 species
CCUACGGGUGGCAGCAGUGAGGAAUAUUGGUCAAUGGACGAGAGUCUGAACCAGCCAAGCCGCGUGCAGGAUGACUGCUCUAUGAGUUGUAAACUUCUUUUGUAUGGGGGUAAUCACCUUUACGUGUAGGGGCUUGACAGUAUAAUACGAAUAAGGAUCGGCUAACUCCGUGCCAGCAGCCGCGGUAAUACGGAGGAUGCAAGCGUUAUCCGGAUUUAUUGGGUUUAAAGGGUGCGUAGGCGGGUUUAUAAGUUAGUGGUGAAAUAACGGGGCUCCACCCCGGAACUGCCUCUAAUACUGUAGAACUAGAGAGCAGAUGCGGUAGGCGGAAUAUAUGAAGUAGCGGUGAAAUGCAUAGAGAUAACACAGAACACCGAUAGCGAAGGCAGCUUACCAGACUAUAUCUGACGCUGAUGCACGAGAGCAUGGGUAGCAAACAGGAUUAGAUACCCCUGUAGUC